GCUACGGUGCUGGAGCAGGCAGCUACCCUGGGGCAGGAAACAACGGCUAUGGAGCAGGUAAUGGAACUGACACUGACAGACAGAAACCUAACCAACAUAUUCUCUCCUUUCAAUGGAUAGCUCACUAUUCUGUGGCAUAAAGAAAGUAAUGGAAACUCAAUCUGGCACAGGUUCCAUGUUACCUCUUCACGUACAUUCUAAUGCAUGUUAGGUGAUGUAAUUGAAAUUAUUUAAAAAGUAGAUGAUCGCUUGAGUAAUGAAUGCACCUAUGCUACAGGUCUUGGACAAGGAGGAUACCCCCAGAAUGGAGCAGGCAAAGCUUUUCGCUUUGUCUUUCUAUUUCUGUCUCUCUUUAUUAUCUUUGUCUUUCUAUUUCUGUCUCUUUUAAUAUCUUUGUCUUCUAUUUCUGUCUCUCUUUAUAUCUUUGUCUUUCUAUUUUUCUAUCUAAAUCCAUUUUUCCUCUUUCUCGCUCUUGCUCUCUAUCUCAGUGCCAGUCUGGGACAGGGAGGACCCCCGGUGGGCAGGUGGUACCCCCAGGGUGGAGCAGGUGGAUACCCACAAGGUGGAGCAGGUGGAUACCCACAGGGUGGAGGCAGGUGGAUACCACAGGUGGAGAAGGUGGAUACCCACAGGGUGGAGCAGGUGUAUACUCCCAGGGUGGAGCAGGAGGAUACCCCCAGGGUGGAGCAGGAAAACCAGGCAAAGCUGGCGGUGGUGCUAAUCUGGGACAGGGAGGAUAUCCCCAGGGUGGAGCAGGAGGAUACCCCCAGGGUGGAGCAGGCAAAUCAGCGGGUUAUGGUGAUCAAAUGGGAGGAGCAUACCCCGGGGCUGGAGCGGGCAACGGCUAUGGGAAUGGUGGAGGCCCAGCUGGGGGGGCCAAUGCAGUGCCUGCAGGCUAUGGCAAUGGCUACGGUGCUAGUACUGGAGGCAAUGGUUAUGGACCCGGGGGAGGAGUCAGUCAGCUUCCUUACAAUGGAGCCCCAGUCAAUACUGCUGGACUGGAUGCAGGUGAUGGAAGCUUCCCUUAUGGUGCUCAGCAACUGGGCCUUGGUGGUGGUGAUGGAGGCAAAUCCUCUGGCAAAUAUGGCAACGGUGGAUUGCCACAGGGUGCACAACAGGGUGCACAGCCUUAUGGACCUGCGACUGGUGGUGGGAAACCACCUUGCAAAAAUGGAAACGGAGGGGGCUUUGGAGCACAGCCAGCAGGCUAUGGUCAAGGACAGCUGGGUGCAGGUCAGAGUGCCCCGUACAGUAACGGAGCAGGAGGGAAGGAAAGCAAAUAUGGUGGUGGUGGACUGACUGGAUUCUUUGGAAAUGGAGGGUACAAAGGUUAA
ensembl:lncRNA